rnacentral:tRNA from 1 species
GACACUAUAGCCAAGUGGUUAAGGCGACAGAUUAGAAUCCUUUACUAUCUGUUUCCCUCUGGGAGCGUAGGUUCGAACCCUACUGGUGUCG